ensembl:lncRNA
GUUGAUGGCCCAUCAGAGAGAGAGUAGCCAUCGGGGAGAGAGUAGCCAUCGGGGAGAGAGUAGCCAUCGGGGAGAGAGUAGCCAUCGGGGAGAGAGUAGCCAUCGGAGAGAGAGAGAGUAGCCAUCGGAGAGAGAGUAGCCAUCGGAGAGAGAGAGAGUAGCCAUCGGAGAGAGAGAGAGAGAGUAGCCAUCGGAGAGAGAGAGAGUAGCCAUCGGAGAGAGAGAGAGAGAGUAGCCAUCGGAGAGAGAGAGAAGAGAGAGCCAUCAGAGAGAGAGAGAGAGUAGCCAUCAGAGAGAGAGAUCAGAGAGAGUAGCCAUCAGAGAGAGAGAGAAGAGAGAUCAGAGAGAGAGAGUAGCCAUCAGAGAGAGAGUAGCCAUCAGAGAGAGAGAGUAGCCAUCAGAGAGAGAGUAGCCAUCAGAGAGAGUAGCCAUCAGAGAGAGAGUAGCCAUCAGAGAGAGAGUAGCCAUCAGAGAGAGAGUAGCCAUCAGAGAGAGAGUAGCCAUCAGAGAGAGAGUAGCCAUCAGAGAGAGAGUAGCCAUCAGAGAGAGAGUAGCCAUCAGAGAGAGAGUAGCCAUCAGAGAGAGAGAGUAGCCAUCAGGGAGAGAGUAGCCAUCGGAGAGAGAGUAGCCAUCAGAGAGAGCGUAGCCAUCAGGGAGAGAGUAGCCAUCAGGGACGUGGCCCCGGGUCUUGACCCCGUGGGGACCACAUACAGGGUUCUCUCAGCUAAGGGAUAGAUUGAAGUUUACAGAAUUGUUUCCUGUAGGAAAAUAGAGGAGGGUCAUGCUUUUUCAAUUUCAGUCAAGGGAGGGUUUAGUAUUUUUUUUAAAUCGAGCCCAGGG